GACGAACGCUGGCGGCGUGCUUAACACAUGCAAGUCGAACGCAGUGGCGAACGGGUGAGUAACGCGUAAUCAACCUGCCCUUCAGCGGGGGACAACAGUUGGAAACGACUGCUCAUACCGCAUACUGAAGGAGGGGAUUGCGGCUGAUGAGGUAGUUGGAGGGGUAACGGCCAACCAAGGCGAUGAUCAGUAGCCGGUCUUAGAGGAUGAACGGCCACAUAGGGACGGAGACACGGCCCAUACUCCUACGGGAGGCAGCAGUGGGGAAUCUUCCGCAAUGGACGAAAGUCUGACGGAGCAACGCCGCGUGAGUGAUGACGGCCUUCGGGUUGGAAAGCUCUGUUAAUCGGGACGCGGUACCGGAAUAGAAAGCCACGGCUAACUACGUGCCAGCAGCCGCGGUAAUUC
rnacentral:rRNA from 1 species